CCCUUAGAUGUUCUGGGCCGCACGCGCGCUACACUGAUGCAUUCAACGAGCACCCGCUGGGCCGAGAGGUCCGGCUAAUCUUUGAACGUGCAUCGUGCUGGGGAUAGAUGAUUGCAAUUAUUCAUCUUCAACGAGGAAUUCCUAGUAAACGCAAGUCAUCAGCUUGCAUUGAUUACGUCCCUGCCCUUUGUACACACCGCCCGUCGCUCCUACCGAUUGAAUGGUCCGGUGAAGCGCUCGGACCGCGGCCUCUUGACGGGUCUCCGUCGAUUGGCUGUGGGAAGUUCGUUAAACCUUAUCAUUUAGAGGAAGGAGAAGUCGUAACA
rnacentral:rRNA from 1 species